AGAGUUUGAUCCUGGCUCAGGAUAAACGCUGGCGGCGCACAUAAGACAUGCAAGUCGAACGGACUUAACCGAAUGUUUACAUUUGGAGCGGUUAGUGGCGGACUGGUGAGUAACGCGUGAGCAACCUGCCUAUUAGAGGGGAAUAACAGUGAGAAAUCAUUGCUAAUACCGCAUAUGCUCACAGUACCACAUGGUACAGUGAGGAAAGGAGCAAUCUGCUAAUAGAUGGGCUUGCGUCUGAUUAGCUAGUUGGUGGGGCAACGGCCUACCAAGGCGACGAUCAGUAGCCGGACUGAGAGGUUGAACGGCCACAUUGGGACUGAGAUACGGCCCAGACUCCUACGGGAGGCAGCAGUCGGGAAUAUUGCGCAAUGGAGGAAACUCUGACGCAGUGACGCCGCGUAUAGGAAGAAGGUUUUCGGAUUGUAAACUAUUGUCGUUAGGGAAGAAAAAAGACAGUACCUAAGGAGGAAGCCCCGGCUAACUAUGUGCCAGCAGCCGCGGUAAUACAUAGGGGGCAAGCGUUAUCCGGAAUUAUUGGGUGUAAAGGGUGCGUAGACGGGUGUUUAAGUUGGUUGUGAAAUCCCUCGGCUCAACUGAGGAACUGCAACCAAAACUGGAUAUCUUGAGUGUCGGAGAGGAAAGUGGAAUUCCUAGUGUAGCGGUGAAAUGCGUAGAUAUUAGGAGGAACACCAGUGGCGAAGGCGACUUUCUGGACGAUAACUGACGUUGAGGCACGAAAGUGUGGGGAGCAAACAGGAUUAGAUACCCUGGUAGUCCACACCGUAAACGAUGGAUACUAGGUGUAGGGUGUAUUAAGCAUUCUGUGCCGCCGCAAACGCAUUAAGUAUCCCACCUGGGGAGUACGACCGCAAGGUUGAAACUCAAAGGAAUUGACGGGGGCCCGCACAAGCAGUGGAGUAUGUGGUUUAAUUCGAAGCAACGCGAAGAACCUUACCAGGGCUUGACAUAUACAGGAAUAGCUAAGAGAUUAGUUAGCUCUUCGGAGCCUGCAUACAGGUGGUGCAUGGUUGUCGUCAGCUCGUGUCGUGAGAUGUUGGGUUAAGUCCCGCAACGAGCGCAACCCCUGUCCUUAGUUGCCAGCGAGUAAUGUCGGGAACUCUAAGGAGACUGCCGGUGAUAAAUCGGAGGAAGGUGGGGAUGACGUCAAAUCAUCAUGCCCUUUAUGUCCUGGGCUACACACGUACUACAAUGGCCGCUACAGAGAGAAACAAGACAGUGAUGUGGAGUAAAACUCAAAAAACGGUCUCAGUUCGGAUUGAAGGCUGAAAUUCGCCUUCAUGAAGCUGGAAUUGCUAGUAAUGGCAGGUCAGCAUACUGCCGUGAAUACGUUCCCGGGCCUUGUACACACCGCCCGU
rnacentral:rRNA from 1 species